GAAGGAACGCCAGGCAGUCGCUGUAAUUAUUCAUUUAAUUAUGGAGGAAAGUCCGAACUCUUUUCCGAAACGUCUCUGACCUUUCGGAAUGGACACAGUGCCGGAUAACGUCCGGGGUUUCGGUUUUAAAGCCGAAAUACGGAAAGUAUCACAGAAAAUAUACCGUCCCGUUUUGGGAUAAGGGUGAAAAGGUGCGGGAUGCAAUGAAGCGUCCUUAAUGUAAGAGCGCACCGUGUUUCGAGUAAUCGAAACAGUCCGCAAGGAUAACGUUUCAUACGUUACAAGAUAAACCCCACUGAGAGCAAGACCAAAUAAGUUCCGUUUGUGCUUCGGCACAAGAGAGAUGUCCGCUCAAUUCAUUGUUAUGAGACGGAAUGGGUAGGUCGCUGGAAAUCUGCAGUAAUGCAGAUUCAAGAGAAAUGGCUGCCGCUCCUUUGCGGAGAGACAGAAUUCGGCUUAUCGGCGUACUUCGCAU
rnacentral:RNase_P_RNA from 1 species